rnacentral:rRNA from 1 species
UCGGGAAUUUUGGGCAAUGGGCGAAAGCCUGACCCAGCAACGCCGCGUGAGGGAUGAAGUAUUUCGGUAUGUAAACCUCGAAAGAAUGGGAAGAAUAAAUGACGGUACCAUUUAUAAGCUCCGGCUAACUACGUGCCAGCAGCCGCGGUAAUACGUAGGGAGCAAGCGUUGUUCGGAUUUACUGGGCGUAAAGGGCGCGUAGGCGGCGCGGUAAGUCACUUGUGAAAUCUCUGAGCUUAACUCAGAACGGCCAAGUGAUACUGCUGUGCUAGAGUGCGGAAGAGGCAACCGGAAUUCUUGGUGUAGCGGUGAAAUGCGUAGAUAUCAAGAGAAACACCUGAGGCGAAGGCGGGUUGCUGGGCCGACACUGACGCUGAUGCGCGAAAG